rnacentral:lncRNA from 1 species
AGGGAUAAAUGGAUCUUAGGAAAAUUGUAGUUCCCGUGGUCAGGAUGUUUUUCAUGAUGGUGGCAGUUGGCCUCUUGGGAAUCUGAGAGAUUGUCCAAAAGCUGACUAACAGGAAGACAGAAGUGUAACUGCAGCACAAACAGACAGGAAACAGCUAUGUUAAGAAAACAUUUGUGAAAAUUCACUCAGCAUUGCUUACAUGAAGCCUCUAACUUGAUGAGAGAGCAAGUUGGUUAAAAAAAUAGAAGCUUAUUUGAGAAAUGAGGAGUUAGCAUUGUGCCUGUCGAGGCCUUCCUCCUGUCUAGCACAUGGACCAU